UUAAGCGACUAAGCGUACACGGUGGAUGCCCUGGCAGUCAGAGGCGAUGAAGGACGUGCUAAUCUGCGAUAAGCGUCGGUAAGGUGAUAUGAACCGUUAUAACCGGCGAUUUCCGAAUGGGGAAACCCAGUGUGAUUCGUCACACUAUCAUUAACUGAAUCCAUAGGUUAAUGAGGCGAACCGGGGGAACUGAAACAUCUAAGUACCCCGAGGAAAAGAAAUCAACCGAGAUUCCCCCAGUAGCGGCGAGCGAACGGGGAGCAGCCCAGAGCCUGAAUCAGUGUGUGUGUUAGUGGAAGCGUCUGGAAAGGCGCGCGAUACAGGGUGACAGCCCCGUACACAAAAAUGCACAUGCUGUGAGCUCGAUGAGUAGGGCGGGACACGUGGUAUCCUGUCUGAAUAUGGGGGGACCAUCCUCCAAGGCUAAAUACUCCUGACUGACCGAUAGUGAACCAGUACCGUGAGGGAAAGGCGAAAAGAACCCCGGCGAGGGGAGUGAAAAAGAACCUGAAACCGUGUACGUACAAGCAGUGGGAGCACGCUUAGGCGUGUGACUGCGUACCUUUUGUAUAAUGGGUCAGCGACUUAUAUUCUGUAGCAAGGUUAACCGAAUAGGGGAGCCGAAGGGAAACCGAGUCUUAACUGGGCGUUAAGUUGCAGGGUAUAGACCCGAAACCCGGUGAUCUAGCCAUGGGCAGGUUGAAGGUUGGGUAACACUAACUGGAGGACCGAACCGACUAAUGUUGAAAAAUUAGCGGAUGACUUGUGGCUGGGGGUGAAAGGCCAAUCAAACCGGGAGAUAGCUGGUUCUCCCCGAAAGCUAUUUAGGUAGCGCCUCGUGAAUUCAUCUCCGGGGGUAGAGCACUGUUUCGGCAAGGGGGUCAUCCCGACUUACCAACCCGAUGCAAACUGCGAAUACCGGAGAAUGUUAUCACGGGAGACACACGGCGGGUGCUAACGUCCGUCGUGAAGAGGGAAACAACCCAGACCGCCAGCUAAGGUCCCAAAGUCAUGGUUAAGUGGGAAACGAUGUGGGAAGGCCCAGACAGCCAGGAUGUUGGCUUAGAAGCAGCCAUCAUUUAAAGAAAGCGUAAUAGCUCACUGGUCGAGUCGGCCUGCGCGGAAGAUGUAACGGGGCUAAACCAUGCACCGAAGCUGCGGCAGCGACGCUUAUGCGUUGUUGGGUAGGGGAGCGUUCUGUAAGCCUGUGAAGGUGUGCUGUGAGGCAUGCUGGAGGUAUCAGAAGUGCGAAUGCUGACAUAAGUAACGAUAAAGCGGGUGAAAAGCCCGCUCGCCGGAAGACCAAGGGUUCCUGUCCAACGUUAAUCGGGGCAGGGUGAGUCGACCCCUAAGGCGAGGCCGAAAGGCGUAGUCGAUGGGAAACAGGUUAAUAUUCCUGUACUUGGUGUUACUGCGAAGGGGGGACGGAGAAGGCUAUGUUGGCCGGGCGACGGUUGUCCCGGUUUAAGCGUGUAGGCUGGUUUUCCAGGCAAAUCCGGAAAAUCAAGGCUGAGGCGUGAUGACGAGGCACUACGGUGCUGAAGCAACAAAUGCCCUGCUUCCAGGAAAAGCCUCUAAGCAUCAGGUAACAUCAAAUCGUACCCCAAACCGACACAGGUGGUCAGGUAGAGAAUACCAAGGCGCUUGAGAGAACUCGGGUGAAGGAACUAGGCAAAAUGGUGCCGUAACUUCGGGAGAAGGCACGCUGAUAUGUAGGUGAAGUCCCUCGCGGAUGGAGCUGAAAUCAGUCGAAGAUACCAGCUGGCUGCAACUGUUUAUUAAAAACACAGCACUGUGCAAACACGAAAGUGGACGUAUACGGUGUGACGCCUGCCCGGUGCCGGAAGGUUAAUUGAUGGGGUUAGCGCAAGCGAAGCUCUUGAUCGAAGCCCCGGUAAACGGCGGCCGUAACUAUAACGGUCCUAAGGUAGCGAAAUUCCUUGUCGGGUAAGUUCCGACCUGCACGAAUGGCGUAAUGAUGGCCAGGCUGUCUCCACCCGAGACUCAGUGAAAUUGAACUCGCUGUGAAGAUGCAGUGUACCCGCGGCAAGACGGAAAGACCCCGUGAACCUUUACUAUAGCUUGACACUGAACAUUGAGCCUUGAUGUGUAGGAUAGGUGGGAGGCUUUGAAGUGUGGACGCCAGUCUGCAUGGAGCCGACCUUGAAAUACCACCCUUUAAUGUUUGAUGUUCUAACGUUGACCCGUAAUCCGGGUUGCGGACAGUGUCUGGUGGGUAGUUUGACUGGGGCGGUCUCCUCCUAAAGAGUAACGGAGGAGCACGAAGGUUGGCUAAUCCUGGUCGGACAUCAGGAGGUUAGUGCAAUGGCAUAAGCCAGCUUGACUGCGAGCGUGACGGCGCGAGCAGGUGCGAAAGCAGGUCAUAGUGAUCCGGUGGUUCUGAAUGGAAGGGCCAUCGCUCAACGGAUAAAAGGUACUCCGGGGAUAACAGGCUGAUACCGCCCAAGAGUUCAUAUCGACGGCGGUGUUUGGCACCUCGAUGUCGGCUCAUCACAUCCUGGGGCUGAAGUAGGUCCCAAGGGUAUGGCUGUUCGCCAUUUAAAGUGGUACGCGAGCUGGGUUUAGAACGUCGUGAGACAGUUCGGUCCCUAUCUGCCGUGGGCGCUGGAGAACUGAGGGGGGCUGCUCCUAGUACGAGAGGACCGGAGUGGACGCAUCACUGGUGUUCGGGUUGUCAUGCCAAUGGCACUGCCCGGUAGCUAAAUGCGGAAGAGAUAAGUGCUGAAAGCAUCUAAGCACGAAACUUGCCCCGAGAUGAGUUCUCCCUGACCCUUUAAGGGUCCUGAAGGAACGUUGAAGACGACGACGUUGAUAGGCCGGGUGUGUAAGCGCAGCGAUGCGUUGAGCUAACCGGUACUAAUGAACCGUGAGGCUUAACCUU
rnacentral:rRNA from 1 species